GGAGAGGUGUCCGAGUGGUUUAAGGAGCUAGUCUUGAAAACUAGUGAUUCCGCAAGGAACCAAGAGUUCGAAUCUCUUCCUCUCCGCCA
rnacentral:tRNA from 1 species